GGAAACUGGAACUGGGCGGUCAAUGACUUGGAAAGCAAUUCCAGAUUCUUUCUAUCACACAUGGCAGGCACAGACACGCACACACACACUCCCCCCUCUGCCUCUGCCUCUGCCUCUCCCUCCCUCUCUCUCUCUCUCCCUUCCUCUCUAUGGUGUGCAGUGCAGUCGAGCAGCGCCAGCAGCUGAAGGCCAACAGCUGUCGUAUCUUUCUAGAGCUGGCACAGCAGCCGCCCAGCGAGGCUAGAGGGAGGCCACAGCAGUCAUGGCCGCCCGCCGGGGAGGAGAGGACGGACACACGGGGAAAGAGCAGGAGGAGGUGGGUGGGGGGAGGAGGAGGAGGAGGAGGGAAGAGGAACAGUGUCAGAGCGAAGGGGAAGAAGGCCAGUACGUGGCACCAAAGCCGACCCGAGCUUUAUCUAUCCGCUGCUCGCUUUCAGGGGAGAACCGGAGAAGGGAAAAGAGAGCGAGCCAGGAUCCCAAAGACGCCAAAGGCUGAGCAUUC
rnacentral:misc_RNA from 1 species